UAUGCAUGUGUACAUACGUGUGUGUGUGAGUAUUCACACCUCUUACACACAUGUACAUCUGUUUCCAGCUAAAAGGUUCUGAUAAACCCGCUGCACACUCUCUGUUCAGCACUAAACAGAGAGAGUUUUCUCAGAAUUACUGAAACCAAGCCAUUUCUAAAAAGCAAAUGGAUGCCAGUGCACUCAAAAAACUGAUCCAAGCCCUUCUUUGGUGUGACACAUUAAAUUGUUGUUUGAUUUGCUUAAAUAAGUCUAGUAAACACUAAAUAUAUGUACAUUUAAUUGUGGUAAUGUAAUAGUUUCAUCUUGACAUGAACUCAAAACAAAUGUGUUUCAUUUGAAUUGGGACCGCCCAAGCAUGCACAAGCAUGUGCGAGGCAACGCGCUCUCAGGCUCUGUUUCUCCUGGUCCUUCUUCAGACUUCUGACUCAACCUCUGCCAACUCUCCUGCGUGAUUUUACUUUACAGAGCCACAGAAAGCUGCUGUAAUUCCACUCCCUGAUGGACCAAUUCUCAGACUGAUUCAGAUCUUCCAGAGCAAAGGAGGAGUUAAAGGGCUAAAGAUCAAGUGCAUCCUGGCAAUGACAGACUCGUCCUCUGCAGCUGAGGAUGCAGAGAGGGACAUGUGUGAUUGAGAACACAAAAGUCCUCAACAA